GACGAACGCUGGCGGCGUGCCUAACACAUGCAAGUCGAACGGGACCGGGGGCAACUCCGGUUCAGUGGCGGACGGGUGCGUAACACGUGAGGAACAUGACUUUCGGUGGGGGAUAGCCGGCCCAACGGCCGGGUAAUACCGCGUACGACCUCUCGGGGACAUCUCCGGUUGGUGAAAGCAGCAAUGCGCCGAAAGAGUGCCUCGCGGCCUAUCAGCUAGUUGGUGGGGUAACGGCCCACCAAGGCGACGACGGGUAGCUGGUCUGAGAGGAUGGCCAGCCACAUUGGGGACUGAGACACGGCCCAGACUCCUACGGGAGGCAGCAGUGGGGAAUAUUGCGCAAUGGGCGAAAGCCUGACGCAGCGACGCCGCGUGUGGGAUACGGCCUCGGUUGUAAACCACUGUCGGGAGGGACGAAUGCGCCGCAAGGCGAGUGACGGUACCUCCAAAGGAAGCACCGGCUAACUCCGUGCCAGCAGCCGCGGUAAUACGGAGGGUGCGAGCGUUGUCCGGAAUCACUGGCGUAAAGGGCGCGUAGGCGCCUGGUAAGUAGGGGGCUGAAAUCCUGCGGCUUAACCGCAGGGCUGCCUUCUAAACUGUCAGGCUCGAGCACAGUAGAGGCAGGUGGAAUUCCCGGUGUAGCGGUGGAAUGCGUAGAGAUCGGGAAGAACAUCAGUGGCGAAGGCGGCCUGCUGGGCUGUUGCUGACGCUGAGGCGCGACAGCGU
rnacentral:rRNA from 1 species